rnacentral:rRNA from 1 species
UACGUAGGGUGCGAGCGUUGUCCGGAAUUACUGGGCGUAAAGAGCUCGUAGGUGGUUUGUCGCGUCUGCUGUGAAAACUGGAGGCUCAACCUCCAGCCUGCAGUGGGUACGGGCAGACUAGAGUGCGGUAGGGGAGAUUGGAAUUCCUGGUGUAGCGGUGAAAUGCGCAGAUAUCAGGAGGAACACCGGUGGCGAAGGCGGCUCUCUGGGUCGGCCCUGACGCUGAGGCGCGAAAGCGUGGGGAGCGAACAGG